rnacentral:lncRNA from 1 species
AACACCACCCUGUACUUAACUCCAUGUCCCCCUACAUGACCUUGCUAUUUGCUUUUGAACCAAAUUAACUAACUAACUAACUAACUAACUAAUUAAAUGUGAUAAAUACAACAUUGUUAGAUUAUGUAGGAUGUCUUGAUAGAGAGACAAAGUUUAAGAAGUUUAAUCUAUUUUGUUGUGGACCAAAAUAUUGAGCUAUUACAUAGAUUAAAAAGGUUGACCAAAAUCAUAGUGGUCACCAGUUAACCAUUGAUGAUAAGCAUGGCUCAAGAAUAAAGAUUAAGAAAUUUAGUAUAAAUUAUAAAAUUUGGAAAUAUUUAUUUCAGGGAGUCCAGAGCUGAAGGAGAAGGAUCUUCUGAGAGUGGCUAAGAGGUUAGGAAGAGAUUGGUGGCAAGUCGCGAUUUUUUUAGGAGUUGAUACAACUAAACUGAAAAUUGAUGAUGAGUCUAUUGACGCUGUAAAACAAGGCUACCUGAUGCUUUACGAAUGGUACAGGAAUUGCGACCCAGAAACACGGACACACGCAACAUUAAGUGCAGCUCUUGAAGAAGCUGAAUGUUUCGCUGCGAUGGAAUGUCUGUCAUUAGACGCAAAGUGAAUUUCUGUGUAACUGUUGUUGUUUAGCCUCAGAUUAACCUUGACCAAACAGAGACUUAUGAUCAAACGCAUGCCAGCCAAGACCAUCAUGCCUAUUUCCAAAGAGAACCCACAACCACAUUGUCCAAUAUGCCCUUCUGUACAGUGGUAUCGUGUGAAUUUAGCUACUAAUUCUAGCAGGUAUAUCAACCACAUAGUGAUCCCUUCACUGGUUUGGCUCCUUUGUUAAAAAUUCACAUUUAAAAUAAAGACAAACUUUGAAAUGUC